AAGCAUUCUCAGUUUCAUCCAGGA
rnacentral:misc_RNA from 1 species